AAAACAGUAUCUGGUAAUGAAAUCAGUCACGAAGGAAGCGGACUUCUCCUGACUUACCAAUGUGACAAGAAGCACCACAGAUGUAGUCAAGUCCAAUUCUCUUACUUCACACAUGAGGAUACUGAGGACUGGGAGGAGUGUAUUCAUGUUACAUUCGGGAUUAGAACUCAGUUUUCCUUCGUCACCAAUUUCAAACAUUCAGUGAAAAUGAUGAUACAAUGAACACCCUAUACCCACCACUACAUUGAUUCAAUGAUUAACAUUUUGUCAUAUUUGCUGACUGUAUUUGCAAAACCAUUUAAACGUAAUUUGUACACCUUGUGACAAUUCAUCUCUAAAGAUUUCAGCAUAUAUUUCCUAAGAUCAGGAUAUUCUUUUAUAUACCCACAAUACCAUUAUAAAAAUAACUAAAAAUAAUUCCUUAAUGUAUCUAAUACCUAGUCCAUUUUCUAAAUUUUGAAAUGUGUGUCUCAAAAUGUCUUUUAUAAUUUUUUUCCUCAAAUUACAAUCUAGUCAAGAUAUCUCAUUGCAUUCAUUUUAUCUUUAUCAUCUCUGUUCGUCUGGAACAUUCUCCAAACACUUCUUUUUGGGAUGUUAACUUUUUGUAAAAUGCCCCAUGGCACACUAGGGAAAGUGGCAUACAAAGCUGAGGCCUGAAGGUGAAUAAGUAUGUGUCAUCAAAUGAAGAAGUAUGGAAAAAGGGAAAAGAUUUUCUAAGCCUUUGUUUCUCUGUUCUGGCCACAACCCCAGAAGUCAGAGGCCCAACCUGAGUUACUGUGGAAGAGGACAGAAUAUUUGGUGCCCCCUCCAUGGCAAACAAACAAGACACUACCCUGCAAUUGAAAGGGACAGUAUUUCUCUUAUUCCAAGUACACUUGAGAUAGAAAAUAAUACAUUUCUUUUAAAUGACAAGUAGUUGCAAAUGCAAACUCAUAAAGAUCCACAUCUUUAUGAGAAGGAGUUAACAAUCUCUUCACAGUAAUUCUGGGAUUAGGAGAUGAGACCAUGUUUCUACAUGAAGACACAGAUACCUCUCCAAAGAUACUCACCCCUCCUGGUCUGUAAACUUUUGAAAAUUAGAACAGCAUUUUGUUCAAUUUUAUUCUCAGUGUCUAGCAGCUCAAUAAAUAUUAGUUGAAUGCACAAGUCAGUUAUAAAGUCAAUUGAAUAAUAUUUGCAUUUCUGCCUUUCUAUAUUAAAUACUUUGUUGGGCAUAGCAACAAUUUAUUUUCCUGAACUCCUCACCACGCAUGUUUACCAUAUGCCCUGAUACCAAGCCUUCUUUCUCAUGGUAUCUCUGUAAACUGGAAAAAUAGUACAGGAAGUGUCCUGACACAGUGUUCCACUGUUCCCAA
rnacentral:lncRNA from 1 species